rnacentral:rRNA from 1 species
GAUGAACGCUGGCGGCGUGCCUAAUACAUGCAAGUCGAGCGGUAAGGCCUCUUCGGAGGUACACGAGCGGCGGACGGCUGAGUAACACGUAGGAACAUACCCCAAAGUGAGGGAUAACUGCUCGAAAGAGUAGCUAAUACCGCAUGUGGUCUUCGGAUUAAAGCUUCGGCGCUUUGGGAAUGGCCUGCGUCUGAUUAGCUAGAUGGUGAGGUAAUGGCUCACCAUGGCGACGAUCAGUAGCUGGUCUGAGAGGAUGAUCAGCCAGACUAGGACUGAGACACGGCCCAGACUCCUACGGGAGGCAGCAGUAGGGAAUUUUCCACAAUGGGCGAAAGCCUGAUGGAGCAACGCCGCGUGCAGGAUGAAUGCCUUCGGGUUGUAAACUGCUUUUAUAUGUGACGAAUAUGACGGUAGCAUAUGAAUAAGGAUCGGCUAACUCCGUGCCAGCCGCCGCAGUAA